CUGACAGUUUGGCUUCCCUGUUCCAGGUGGCAAAGCCUGUGGGGUAUUCACCUACCUGCUGCAUGAAGGCAGCAUGGAGGGACUGUGGUGGAUUAUCUGCAAAGAUGGCCCAAAUUCUCUCAUCCCUGCAGGUACAUACAAGAGGAGAACUGAAGCUCAGCUAUUCACCCUACAGAAAGCCUGAAUUUUGUAAAUGUUCUGCUUAGAAUGAGGAAGAAAGAUGAAGAAUGAGGAGGAAGAAGGGAGGAACAAGAGAGAGAGGUGAGCAGUAAAUGUGUUUGCUAUUUCCCCAAAAGGAAAUUGAGGUGUACGGAAUGCUUAUUUGGUUGACUCAGUAUCAUCCUAAAUGUAUGAACUAAUGUUUAGGAGUUUGCAGUUCACCCGCAAACCUCAGCGAUCCAAGCUCCCCUGGAUGACCAUCACUCACCUAGAAAAGAACAAUAACAGGACCUGUUUUGCUAAUCCAGGACUGUUCUCCAGCACUAACUCUAAAUAAUCCCUUCUGUUAGAGUCCACUUUCUGGAACCUGUUGCCUCCGUUUUCAACGUUUCCCAAACUUGGUCCGUUGUGUGAGUUGGCUGUUAAAAGUUCCAGGGAGAGGACAUCUUAUUCUUAUUGGAUCACGCACAGUGCCUGAAGCAUUCUGUUGCAUGUAGAAAUCAGUAAAUUGCAGAUGUAAGAUUCAAAACGAGACUUCACAUCUACCGACUUCAGUGAUCCUGAAAUUUGUCCACAGAGAGCAUUUAACAUAACUGUCUUCAUCAUCUCCUUCUCUAAUUAAAAACUAUGGUUCACAAAGACAUUAUUGGUGAUUCAAUCUUGAGUCAUGAAAAGCCAACCUUG
rnacentral:lncRNA from 1 species